rnacentral:lncRNA from 1 species
GCUUACCUCUGACAUCUUAUUACAUUGAUAUUCUUCUGUAUUUUGGUGCUCUUUUAAUGCUUGUAUGAAAAAAAUUUAUUUUUAGUAUGAAGACAACCACCUUCAAUCCAUUUGUAAUUCUUUCCCUGACCUCCUAAUUUUAGACAAGAAGGUAAAGCCAUAAAUAUUGGCAUUACCCAAAUAAAUCUGUUUUCCUUUCUUAUUCCAUCUACAAAUAUAUUCCGUGCUCAGCAGCAGAAAUAAUAAGACAAGGACCUUAAAGUUUCUCCUGGUGAGUCAAAUAGGGAGUUUCUUUUGAAACCAUAAUUAAUAUGCUUGCCAGUCAAAUGGUUUCAUGAAGACAGCAUGACCAUAUGAAAUAUAUACUAGCAUAUGAGAAUUCCAUGUACAUUAAUUUCUGUCAGGUUUUAGAAAUGUAAAAAGACUUAAGUCCCACAAUGAAAUUUCAAAGUUUUUCGUUCUGUAAGUAAAAAGUACUAACUACUGGUAUUAGAGGUCUUCUUUUAAUAGUACUGUCCUUGAGAACAAAAAAAGUUAAUGUUUUGACUUUCAAAAUGUUAAACAUGAUGCUAAACAAAUCCUGGAUUGUUAAUAAAAAUUAAUGAUGCAUUAUUG